rnacentral:rRNA from 1 species
CCUACGGGUGGCUGCAGUGGGGAAUAUUGGACAAUGGGCGAAAGCCUGAUCCAGCCAUGCCGCGUGUGUGAAGAAGGCCUUCGGGUUGUAAAGCACUUUCAGUGGGGAAGAAAGCCUUGGGGCUAAUACCCUCGAGGAAGGACAUCACCCACAGAAGAAGCACCGGCUAACUCCGUGCCAGCAGCCGCGGUAAUACGGAGGGUGCGAGCGUUAAUCGGAAUUACUGGGCGUAAAGCGCGCGUAGGCGGUCUGAUAAGCCGGUUGUGAAAGCCCCGGGCUCAACCUGGGAACGGCAUCCGGAACUGUCAGGCUAGAGUGCAGGAGAGGAAGGUAGAAUUCCCGGUGUAGCGGUGAAAUGCGUAGAGAUCGGGAGGAAUACCAGUGGCGAAGGCGGCCUUCUGGACUGACACUGACGCUGAGGUGCGAAAGCGUGGGUAGCAAACAGGAUUAGAUACCCGGGUAUUC